rnacentral:rRNA from 1 species
UAUUUUUCCUGCCACCGAAUACAUUAGCAUGGGAUAAUGGAAUAGGACCCUGACCUCCUAUUUUCAGUUGGUUUUGUUUACAGCGAGGUUAUAUCAGGGUAAUGAUUAAUAGGGAUAGUUGGGGGCAUUAAUAUUUAAUUGUCAGAGGUGAAAUUCUUGGAUUUAUGAAAGAUUAACUUCUGCGAAAGCGUUUGCCAAGGAUGUUUUCAUUAAUCAAGAACGAAAGUUAGGGGAUCGAAGACGAUCAGAUACCGUCGUAGUCUUAACCAUAAACGAUGCCGACCAGCGAUUAGGAGACGUUGAAUACAAAACACCGCCGUUAAUCCUUUCGGGGGUUAAUGGUUGGUGAAUGACUCCCCUAGC